rnacentral:rRNA from 1 species
AUGGACCUAAGUAAUGUCACGACAGUAGUCUAUGGGGGCGGCUACUCCUUGGCAGCGACCUUCUUCUUGGGGGACUUGGUGGAGGUCUUCUUCUUGGGCGACUUGGCCUCCUUCUCGGCGGCGGCGGGGGACUUCUUGGGGAGCAGCACGGAGUUAAUGUUGGGGAUCACGCCGCCGUGGGCGAUGGUGACGCCGGCGAGCAGCCUGCCGAGCUCCUGGUCGUUGCGGACGGCGAGCAGCAGGUGGCGCGGGAUGAUGCGGGUCUUCUUGUUGUCCUUGGCCGCGUUGCCGGCGAGCUCCAGGACCUGCGAUCCAAAACGAAAUCUGUCAGUUAUCCGUCGAGCAGGAGAAGAACAGAGCAGAACAGGUGCUCGGGGACAGGAAAGAUCGGCGCAUACCUCAGCGGCGAGGUACUCGAGGACGGCGGCGAGGUAG